GAUGAACGCUAGCGACAGGCCUAACACAUGCAAGUCGAGGGGCAGAACAUGCGUAGCAAUACAAUGGUGGCGACCGGCGCACGGGUGAGUAACACGUAUGCAACCUACCUGUAAGAGGGGAAUAACCCAGAGAAAUUCGGACUAACACCGCAUAAUACCUCGAGGCUGCAUGGCUUUGAGGUUAAAUAUUUAUAGCUUACAGAUGGGCAUGCGUAACAUUAGAUAGUUGGUGAGGUAACGGCUCACCAAGUCAACGAUGUUUAGGGGUUCUGGGAGGAAAGGCCCCCGCACUGGGACUGAAACACUGACCGGACUCCUACGGGAGGCAGCGGUGAGGAAUAUUGGGCAAUGGGCGAGAGCCUGAACCAGCCAAGUCGCGUGAAGGAAGAAGGUUCUAUGGAUUGUAAACUUCUUUUGUAAGGGAAUAAAAAAGCUUACGUGUAGGCUAUUGUAUGUACUUUACGAAUAAGGAUCGGCUAACUCCGUGCCAGCCGCCGCGGUAAAAA
rnacentral:rRNA from 1 species